rnacentral:rRNA from 1 species
UACGUAGGGGGCAAGCGUUGUCCGGAUUUAUUGGGCGUAAAGAGCGUGUAGGCGGCCAGGUAGUCCGCUGUGAAAACUCGAGGCUUAACCUCGAGAUGUCGGUGGAAACCAUCUGGCUAGAGUCCGGAAGAGGAGAGUGGAAUUCCUGGUGUAGCGGUGAAAUGCGCAGAUAUCAGGAAGAACACCCGUGGCGAAGGCGGCUCUCUGGGACGGUACUGACGCUGAGACGCGAAAGCGUGGGGAGCGAACAGG